AUUCUUCGUAAUAAUUUGCACUUUGUAGGCUUUCUUUAUGUCAAGAACCAAGGAAUUUCAGGACUUGAAGCACAGAAGAAUAUGUUUAUAACAUAUAUGUAAGUCCUAAUUAAUUACACAUGGUUUAAUUUAUUUGUUAAAUUGUUAAACCCCUGUUAGACAUUUCUACAAUAUAAUCGCCUGUUUAAUUUUCAAAUAAUCCCAUAUUCAUUUUGAUUGAGAAUGCAUUUGCACUUUUAAGUUUUAACUUGUAAAAACAUGGAUUUAUGAAGCUCUUUAGAUUUCAAGUGAAAUUUCUUUCAUGCUUUUUUUUUCUUUUUUUCUUUUAUGCUUAUUAUUAAACGUGUUAAAAGUGAAAUAAUAAAUAAUAGUGAAGGCAUUAAGAAAAAUAUUUUAAUUCAGUUAAUUUCUAUUUGUUUUUUUCUAUACUCAUAAUGUCAUAUAUAUAUAUAUAUAUAUAUUUGCCUAAAAUUAUAUCAGAUAUCUUGACAAUCAUAAUACAACUAAGACAAUCAUCUUAGACCUUGCAUUAUGAAAAUGAUAAGUUUCUGAUUUAUAAUCCGAACCCCUUCUCCAUGGCAUUUUAAUUUCGUCAGAACGUUGGUCUGGGGUGUGUGUCAUGAAGGGGGCUAAAUAGCAAUUUUCUAAGUUUGUAGCUAUUGGAGUAUAUAUAUAAUAUAAGCCCUUACCAAAUAAAUAUUGAGGCCCAACAAGUGCCAGAAAGAUGUUAAACAUUUAAACUACAUUUCUACAGCCUAUUAAAUCACUCAUUGUGAAUAAAAUAUUGUUAAUUUCUUAAAAAAAUAUUUAAUGUGAUUUUUGAGUAUGUCCCAUUUUGGGGGAUUGUACACAACACAAGCCGGCCCUCGCGCGCCACUAUUUAACCUAUCAUCACUCUUGCAAUUUCAUUAACCCCUUUUCAUAUUUAUCUGGACAGGAAAAUAAUUUAUUUUCAUGGAAGAUUCAUGGUGAAGGAGGACCAAUGCAUUAUAUAAGAGAGGUACUUAUGUGAUUUCAUUUUUACUAUAAUUUUGUUUGUUCAAAAUUUAAUUUAGUAAAUAAAUAGUUCUUAAUCAUAUACUUGGAAUAUUGUGUAUCAGAUAAUUAAUAUUUUAAUUUUCUUUAAACAUAAUUUCCAUAAAUUUCCUUUCUAAUUAAUUUGAGGAUAUAUAUAUAUAUAUAUAUAUAUAUAUGGUUUGCAUACUUCAUAUCUUUGCAGAAUUUCUUCCUUUUAUCUUGUGCUGUGUAUUCCUGAGAGUUUAUUUUUUUGCCUUACAUAUAUAUAGCUAAUUUUAUGUUGAAAAGGCUAGUUAUAUUAACACACAUAAUAUACUUUUCUUAAUUAUGAAAUAUAUCCCUAGAAUUAUAUGUUAAUUAAUUAGUUCGACUAAUUUUUGUUUUUUUUAAGUAGGCUAGUGACUAGAAAUUUCGCUCUUAAGAUGGAUUCGAACUCAGCCCCUAUCCUGUAAAUUGAAUUAAACUAACGGGACUAGUUCCAUUAACUUCUUUUUAUAGAUUAAUUAGUUUUUCUAAUAUUGUAGGAUCCGCUUGAAUUGAAUCAUUUGAUUAUUUACUUGAAUUUAUUUUGUGAAGCUAUUUGCGAGAAAGUAUAAAAACAACUUAAUUAUUUUUAUUAGUUUUUUAAGAUAAUUUAUCAAAACAACUUAUAAUAAAAUAUAUGAUCACAAUUUAAUUUUAUCAAAUUGAAUUGCUAUAAGUUUAUACUUAAGUGUUUAUGAUGAUAAUUAAGUGUUUGUGCUAUAAGCUACAACCAAAGUUAUUACAAUUGGUUUAGCUAGUGCUUGUUAGUACAACUAAAUUUUGACUUGGUUGGAGGUUUGUUUGGGUUGAGUACUAAAUAUAGUUGUCUUACCGCGAUAGAAACUUAACUCACACUUAUGUAGCAUUAUGUUUUGAGUUCAAUAAUGAAAAUACACUGAUUUAGUAAUUGAAGUAUUUGACAAUAGAUACAUAUACAUUCCAAAGGAUAAAGGUACUUUUGGACAAGAAAGGAUAAAGGUACUUGGAACAUACGAAUAAAAGUGGUUGGAUGAGAUUUUCCCCUUCUUUUUAUUGAGUCAAAUAGGCUAAUGGCUAGAAUUCCAAUUUUAAGGUGAAUAAAUAGAUUGUUCGGAGUUCAAAUCUCAAUCCUUGUAUAUAAAAUGCGUUGUCUACCAACUGAAUUAAGCUCACGAGAACAAAUGAGGAUUUCCUCUUAAUAGACAUGUAACAUAUGUUUGCUUGAAAGCAUAAUUAUAAAUGCAUUUAUGAUAUAUUCUAACUAUAUGAGAAUGAUGUGAGGCCGCGAUUCAAGAGUUCAUAGACUUGACACUAAUAUAUGUAUAUAUAUUUAUAUAUAUAUAUAUUGUUCAUUCAAAAUAUAUUUUUAGAAUGUUGCAAUGGUUAGAUUUGAAUUAUAGCAUCAUUAAUUAGUUUGAUACCUUGUAUCACAUGGUUCUUAACGAUCAUUGCAAAAGUUCUUCGAAAGUUGUUUCUCUUCACCAAAAGACAUGGGUUUUUAUGAUAAAUAGACACUUUGGAGGCUGAAAAUAAAAACAAAGAAUUUCAUGAGUGACAUGGGUUAAUAUGCUUGAUAUGAAUGUGCAAUGUAGGUCAAGGCUUCUAAAGUAUCAUGAAAGGGAUUCGUCGAUUUAUCCAUUUGAAUCUUGGUGGAGGGGAAUCGAACUUAAAACUUAGUUUUAUACACAUGCUUUGAAAACUCAUGUGCAACUUUCAUUAUGUUUAUCUUCUUUGUUCAAAUUAUUUGCAGCAAAAAACCAAAACAAGAUUUGUAUGCUAAGGCAUAGAGUACUGUUAUGGAUAUGAUAGAAAACAAUCUGAACUUUAUAUAUCCUUUUUAGGAUUUCUUGUGAAUAUUUCUGCUAAAGAUUGUUAAAUUUUGUUAUCUGAAAGUAACAAAGCUAAUUUAUAAAAUGAAUUUCUAGCUGCAGGAUGAAACACAAAAUUUGAAUGGAGAAACUGUUAAGAGAGAAUCAAAGAGGAAAACAUUACAACUAGAACUUGAAAGAAGCGCAUUGUUCUAUGAAAUGAAUGCCCUAGCCAGUUGAACAAUCUAUGUUAUAAAAAAUAAAAACUAAAAAGUGAUCAAAACAAAAAGAAUAUUACAAAUUAAACAAGAUAAUUAUUAGAAACUACUUGAACUUGUACUUUGAAUAUCUGUCAUACUUAGAAGUUGUUCAAGAUAUUCAACUCCCAAAUCCUCUAACACCAACACACAUGAUGAUGAUGAUGAUCCCUCUGCUGGUUCUUGUAACUUCCCUGCUUUAUUAUUAUUCUUUGUAGCUUUUGAUGACAACUUUCUCUGUUCAUAGUGCCUCUCUUUGAGUGCAAGUGCAGGUGAAGACCCUUUUCUACAUUUAUAUUGAAUCUCUUGCAAAGAUUCUUUGACCCUUUGAACAGAAAAAUUGAUGAGAGCAUUAUUACCUCUCAUUGAAAAUGCAGCUUGAUCAUAAGCUAAAGCAGCAUCUUCAGCACUAUCAAAUGUUCCAAGCCAAACUCUUCUUCCUCCUCUUGUUGUAUCUCUUAUCUCUGCUGCAUAUUUCCCCCAAGGUCUUUUUCUUACACCUAUAUAUGAUGACUUUUCCAUCUUAUGCUUCUGCAAUACUUCUUUAGCUUCAGAUGAUGAUGACUGUUUUGUCUGUGUCUGUGAGCUCGAUGAGAAAUCGACCAUAUCGAAGGAAAGAUAAUCGUAAUAAUCAUAUGAUUCGAAUGAAAUAUCUGAACGAUCUUGCAGCAUUUCCAUAUCUGAGUUGUGGAAAAAAGAGAGACUCAUCUUAUUAGCAAAUAAGUGUUUUUCUGUUGCUUCUUGUGCUGUUUUCUCCUUUUGACUGUAAUUUAUAUUUGCCUCAAAUUAAUGGUCAAACUGUACUCAGGGUGUUAUUCAAUUAUGGUUUCUGGAUUUGGAUUAUUCUAAUGUGGCUAGAAAUAUAAGAACCAUUUAUAUAUUAGUUAAGAGAAUCUAGUACUACUAAUAGAAAACAUAGUUUUUGCCAAAAAAAACAGUUAAGAGGAUCUAGAUCCAAAAAGCUUAUGUUAUUACUAUUAAUUAUUAUAUAUGUAUAUUAUUGAAGGUGUACAGGAGUCUUAUAUUAGCAAAGUUUUCAGGUUGUUAGACACCAUCGUGUUUUGAGCUGUCUUUUGGGAGUGAAGGAUCAACACAUAUACAGACUUCAAUAGCAUAUCAAAUAAUUUUAAAUUUAUGUAAAAGUUUAUAGAUAUGAUCAACAUGAGCAAGCCCUGGUUGGAAAGAUUUGUAACUGUUGCCCAUGAUAUGUGUAUUACACUUAUUGAUAUAAUUCAUAAAUGAG
rnacentral:lncRNA from 1 species